CGCGUAGGCGGUAUGGCAAGUCAGAUAUGAAAUUCCAGGGCUCAACCUUGGAGCUGUAUCUGAAACUGCUGAACUUGAGGUAAAGCGGAGAAAAUGGAAUUCCACGUGUAGCGGUGAAAUGCGUAGAUAUGUGGAAGAACACCGGUGGCGAAAGCGGUUUUCUAGUUUUAACCUGACGCUGAGGCGCGAAAGCGAAGGGGAGCAAAACA
rnacentral:rRNA from 1 species